UGCAAGGCACAACUGCUGACUUUGCUUCCCACGGCAUUUGCACUGCUUGGCACAGGUGAAUGGCUCUGACCCCCUUGCUGACAGAGGGACACAAGCAGGUCAGGUGUCAGCCUUGCUGUAUGUGAAUUCAUCGUUGACCGAUGGACAGCUUUAUUCUCUCACCAGCACUACUUAGAAAGUGAGGUUCUGGGUUUGGUUCCUUUUCGGGUGCUCUGGGACUUCGUUUCUGGAAAGUGAGCUCCGUGAUCAGAGCAGAGCAGAGCCCUGGGGCGGACCUCACUCCCCUGGGCCUCGCGCUGAUCAGCAGCGCACACUCUCCAUUUCUCCCUCCCUCCCUCCGCCUGGAGCAGCAGCUGGAUCCGCCUCAGAAGGAGCAGCUGGGGAGUGCUCUUGCCGAGAUGGACCGACAGCUCAGGAGGCUGGCGGACACCCCGUGGCUCUGCCAGUCCGCAGAGCCCGGCGACGAAGAGAGUGUGAUGCUGGAUCUUGCCAAGCGCAGUCGCAGUGGUAAAUUCCGCCUCGUGACCAAGUUUAA
rnacentral:sRNA from 1 species